UAGGAGAAUGCUUAGAGUUUUUGUAGAUGUUAAAUAUGCUUGGUGUAGUCAUAACUAUUGUUAAUUGUACAUGGGGGUAGGUGGUUGGCUUUUGUUUUAGAAGUUGAGCUUUUAGGAUUUGAUGUAUUCUUUCUACUAUCCCUUGGCCCUGAGGGUUGUGGGGAAUCCCCGUAUGGUGGGCAGUUUCCCAUUGUGUGCAGAAAGUUUUGAACUGAGAACCAGUGAAGACAGGGCCAUUAUUAGUUUCUUUUAUCUGUUGAGGAAUGCCCUCUGAAGCUAAGUUCACCAAGAGCUGACAAAAAAAGGCUCUGUCAAAAUCAAAGACACCCCAAAUUUUCCUCUAUCACCCCAUCCUAUCAGUUCUGAUCAAGAAGUAGGGUCGCCCUGGAGGAGAGCUCCAAGAUAAAGUUUCUAACAGCUUUAUUUUACCAAAGUCCAGUCUCCCAACCCAACCUCCAUCCCAGAGAACAGGGUGUUAAAGAAGGGACUUCCUUGACAUUCCUUGGCACUUCUGAAGGACUGCCCCUCUUGUGAACCCUGUCCUCUAACCCCAAGUCUCUGAAGACUGUUGAUGAAAAGGGAACGCUGUUGUGCGGAUAGAUGUGGUGUAGGAAAACAGCUAUGGAGACUCCAACUCCUGGGCAGGUUUGCCCGGAUGUCUAAGUAGGGAGGACAGAGGCUCCAGUGGGGGCCAGGAGUUCCAGCCAGAACUCAGCACCUGACUGUGAGGUGGGGCCUGACCCCUCUAUGUGGACCAGAAGUUCUCCCUGGGGUACCUUCCAACCUCCCAGCCUCUGGCCAGCUGUGCUAUUUCCAGCCCCCAGCCUCCACCCUCAGAGGGGAGUGGUCUGGGAAUGUCACGGAGAUGACAUAUACACUUCAUCCCAGGCCUGGACAGAGGCCAGAGAGCCCUAAGAGGCUCUAUUAGAGCCCCUGCUCCCUUCACUUCCGAAGGUCCCCAUAGUCCUCUCCCUCCUCUAAACUUCAGGAAAUCGAAACUCAAAUUCUCCGCCUCUCCACCUCUUCCCAAAAGUCAGGAAACUGAAAGCUAGCUCCCGACCACCUCUGCCAAUUUACUUUCUCUUCUCUCUCCCAGGUAUCUUACAGCCUGUCUGAAGCCUGUGGUGCCCUGCCCAUGUACAAGUCCAGCAAAGGUGGUCAAUUGUACCUGGAGAAUAAUUAUAACAGCAACACAGAGGCAUAUAUGAGCAGUUUCUUUGGGGCAAAACCACUGCAUUCAGUUACAAAACUACAGUUGUUACAAAACAGGAGAACUCCAUGUCUUACACCAGAAUCCAAGCAAUAACAGAGACCCCGGACUUAGGAAAAAAGCCUUAAGCGGCUGUGGUUGUGCUGACCUGCAGUCCCAGCGCUGGGGACAGGCGAGCAGGAAGAACAUGAGUGUGAGCCCAGCCUGGGCUGGGGAAGUGGCUCCUGAGGAAGAGCACUUACUGUUCAAACAGGAGGACGCAUGGCCAUAAUCCCUGUGCCCAGGUAAAAAGCCCAGCGCGUCUGUGCUCUCUGUAAGCCUGCCUUUCUGUAGCUCAACAGGCAAUGUCACCAUCCCUCCACAUGCAAUGUCACACAUAUUGUGCACACACUCUUCACCCCCUCCCCCAACCCCUGACUGUCUUCCCUCCAUCUUUACAAAUUCUGUUCUGUAUACUUUGUGUAAACAACCCCAAGCAGUGCACACCUUCUGGGCCUGGCUUCUUUCACAUAGUCUAGGGAGCAUGCCAAGUUCUGACCACUUAGCACUCUGUUCCUUUUUAUAACAGAACCAUGUCCCAUUGUAGCCUGACUUUAGGUGAAUCUGCCUUCCCAAGGGGGGGCUGUCUCUUGGCCAGGUGAUUGACAGACCCAACUAAACUAAAUCUCUUCAAAGAGAGAAGGGAAGACAAUGAUAUAAAUGUUCUAUUUGGAGCACCUAGAAUGCCCUUUCUCUUCCCAAGUCCAGGGAUAGUAUAUUCUUUGCACUGGGCCUUAAGUAAUGGCAAUCCAGAUGUUUACCAGGAAAUGGAGGUGGGGACUUCAAAGGAAAGUUGCAGCAAAGGAGCCUCACCUUGCACUGAAUCAUCUCCAAAGCUGGUAAUAGAACAGAACGGCUGAGACUGUGCAGUGGUUACAAUGUUGCAGGUUCAGGGUUAUUGUAAUUUAUCUUAGGAUUUAUUUACCACCCUUAAUGGCCAUUCCUUGGCUACUUCUCUUCUGAUGUAACAUCCUGUGACUAACAGAAUCUUUAGGACUGCAUUUUAACACCCUAGCUUCCUCCUACCAGAAGCCCGUGAGUCAUCAGAUGCCACCUGGAGCCUAUAGCAGAGGUGUCCUGAACCCCUUUACCUGCCGUUUCCACUAGUGUGCUUGAAAAGUACCUUGAUUUAGAACUUUCUUUGUUGUUACUAUAAAACCUUCAUCACAUUGAUACAUGGAACUUGAGGUUGUUUGGUUUCAGACUCUGGAUACUAGGGACUGAAGUUCAUAUUUUACAUAUUAAAGCAGACCUGGCCUCUACAUUAUCCCAGCAUCCCUCAGUCCUUACCUGGCAUUCCCUAUCUCCAACCCUGAAUCUUCCAGCCCAGAGGCUAAGCUGCCCUUCCUGAGAGCCUCUUCCCUAUAUAAUCCAGAUGGUAUGGUCUCUCCUCCCCCUCCUUCGCUCUCUCCUACUCUCCUUCUAGCUCUUCUUUUCACUAUCCUUGUGUUUCCAAUUUCCUUGCUCUCUCUUUCUCUCUUUCUCUCUUUCUCUUUCUCUCUCUCUCUCUCUCUCUCUCUCUCUCUCUCUCUCUCUCUCUCAGCAACUUCUUUGGCCUUGGUCUUUGGGGCCAGUGAACCUGCCUGAGAGUACCUUUUGAAUAAUCUGCAUACACACACACACACACACACACACACACACACACACACUCA